rnacentral:tRNA from 1 species
CUUUUUGGCAGACUUCAUGCAUUUGAAUUAGAAUCAAAUUAUAAUUUUAAUUAAAAG